GUGCUCACUUCAGUAGCACAUGUACUAAAACUGGAAUGAUACAGAGAAGAUUAGCAUGGCCUCUGCACAAGGACGACACACAAAUUCAUGAAGCAUUCCAUAUUUUU
ensembl:snRNA U6 U6 spliceosomal RNA